rnacentral:rRNA from 1 species
UACGUAGGGUGCGAGCGUUAAUCGGAAUUACUGGGCGUAAAGGGUGCGCAGGCGGCCGAGCAAGUCGAGUGUGAAAGCCCCGAGCUUAACUUGGGAACUGCGCUCGAAACUACUUGGCUAGAGUGUGGCAGAGGGAGGUGGAAUUCCACGUGUAGCGGUGAAAUGCGUAGAGAUGUGGAGGAACACCGAUGGCGAAGGCAGCCUCGUGGGCCAACACUGACGCUCAUGCACGAAAGCGUGGGGAGCAAACAGG